GACGAACGCUGGCGGCGUGCUUAACACAUGCAAGUCGAACGGAAAGGCCCUGCUUUUGUGGGGUGCUCGAGUGGCGAACGGGUGAGUAACACGUGAGUAACCUGCCCUUGACUUUGGGAUAACUUCAGGAAACUGGGGCUAAUACCGGAUAGGAGCUCCUGCUGCAUGGUGGGGGUUGGAAAGUUUCGGCGGUUGGGGAUGGACUCGCGGCUUAUCAGCUUGUUGGUGGGGUAGUGGCUUACCAAGGCUUUGACGGGUAGCCGGCCUGAGAGGGUGACCGGCCACAUUGGGACUGAGACACGGUCCAGACUCCUACGGGAGGCAGCAGUGGGGAAUAUUGCACAAUGGGCGGAAGCCUGAUGCAGCAACGCCGCGUGCGGGAUGACGGCCUUCGGGUUGUAAACCGCUUUCGCCUGUGACGAAGCGUGAGUGACGGUAAUGGGUAAAGAAGCACCGGCUAACUACGUG
rnacentral:rRNA from 1 species